CCGUAACUAUAACGGUCCUAAGGUAGCGAAAUUCCUUGUCGGGUAAGUUCCGACCUGCACGAAUGGCGUAAUGAUGGCCAGGCUGUCUCCACCCGAGACUCAGUGAAAUUGAACUCGCUGUGAAGAUGCAGUGUACCCGCGGCAAGACGGAAAGACCCCGUGAACCUUUACUAUAGCUUGACACUGAACAUUGAGCCUUGAUGUGUAGGAUAGGUGGGAGGCUUUGAAGUGUGGACGCCAGUCUGCAUGGAGCCGACCUUGAAAUACCACCCUUUAAUGUUUGAUGUUCUAACGUGGACCCGUGAUCCGGGUUGCGGACAGUGUCUGGUGGGUAGUUUGACUGGGGCGGUCUCCUCCUAAAGAGUAACGGAGGAGCACGAAGGUUGGCUAAUCCUGGUCGGACAUCAGGAGGUUAGUGCAAUGGCAUAAGCCAGCUUGACUGCGAGCGUGACGGCGCGAGCAGGUGCGAAAGCAGGUCAUAGUGAUCCGGUGGUUCUGAAUGGAAGGGCCAUCGCUCAACGGAUAAAAGGUACUCCGGGGAUAACAGGCUGAUACCGCCCAAGAGUUCAUAUCGACGGCGGUGUUUGGCACCUCGAUGUCGGCUCAUCACAUCCUGGGGCUGAAGUAGGUCCCAAGGGUAUGGCUGUUCGCCAUUUAAAGUGGUACGCGAGCUGGGUUUAGAACGUCGUGAGACAGUUCGGUCCCUAUCUGCCGUGGGCGCUGGAGAACUGAGGGGGGCUGCUCCUAGUACGAGAGGACCGGAGUGGACGCAUCACUGGUGUUCGGGUUGUCAUGCCAAUGGCACUGCCCGGUAGCUAAAUGCGGAAGAGAUAAGUGCUGAAAGCAUCUAAGCACGAAACUUGCCCCGAGAUGAGUUCUCCCUGACCCUUUAAGGGUCCUGAAGGAACGUUGAAGACGACGACGUUGAUAGGCCGGGUGUGUAAGCGCAGCGAUGCGUUGAGCUAACCGGUACUAAUGAACCGUGAGGCUUAACCUUACAACGCCGAAG
rnacentral:rRNA from 1 species